UCUCCACGUUACCCAGUACACUACCUGGCAGUAAUAGGCGUCAGUGGCUGUUAUGUGAGAGAAAUUGCAGGCGAGCUUGAUGCUGUAGGACAGAGAUUUAUUUCUCGGGUGGUUUCUUCCAAUGAUCGGAGAGGCUUGUCUCAGACCAGGUUGAGAACGACUCCUCCUGUGCACACAGGUGUGCUUACACAACUGUGGUUGUAUUUUCAUAUUCAGUGAAAAACAAAAUACAGGGUAAAGUACUGGACUGAAUUCAAUAAAACUUUUAAAUAAGUGUGAUUUUAUUAUAAUAUCUUCUACAUAAAAGAGAAAUAGUACAGUACAUAUAUGUCCCUGGACACUGGUUGGUGUGCAUAAGGAUUCAGGGAGCCCCUUAAAUAACUACUAUGUGUCCCCCACCCCACGAAUCAUACUUUGGGGACAUUAUCUGAGAAUAUUAAUUUUAGUAAGUUAUUCACUUUUUUAACUUUUGAUUUAAGAUUUCAUUAAUAAAAUCCAGAUAUCAUGUCACUGACAUCUCUUAAAAAAUAGGGGUAUCUUGUAGGUUGUGGGUGUUUUGGGAUUGACUACAGCGAUAGCUGUUGUCCUCUUCUUGCCUCUAGUUCCUUGCCUCAUCCAAGCCGUUCCACAUGAUACUCAGUUUCCUAAAAUACCGCUUUCAAGUGUUGGCAUCUGUGGGAUAAUGGGCAGCAUACUGGUGGUAAAAUCAGGACAUGCAGAUUUGACUCCCAGCGUUGCUUCUUAGUUCUGUGUUUUCUUUCAUACGUUUAUAUAAGACCAUAUUGGAAACAUGGUCUCAAUUUUAUUAUCAAAAUGUAAAUUCAAGAAAAGACCUCAAGGCUCCCUUUAAUGGCCGCUGAAAUUAUUGCAAAUUCAAAUGUCUAGGCCAGUUCAGAGCAUCAGAUCCAAGUUCUGCUUUUUUUUCAAACUGAAAUUGUAUGCCUGUCUUCCUAAUUUCCCUUUCUUCUAUCCCCUAAUUUUGUAACUUUUGCCCCAUUGAGAAUCACAAGCCAAUCUGGUAAAGUCUGUACUUAGCCUGGCAUUCCAGAGCCGCCUUGUUUUUGUCUGAGGAAGAUUCACCCUGAGCUAGCAUCUGUGCCAGUCUUGCUCUGUUUUGUUUGUGGGUCACCACCACAGCAUGGCUGACAAGUGGUGUGGGCCUGUGCCCAGGAUCCAAACCUGUGAAGCCCGGGCCACUGAAGCGAAGUGCGCUGAACUUAACCACUAAGCCACGGAGCCUGCCCCUCCAGAGCCUUCUUAUCAUAGUCUCGACACAUUACCUUUCCAGCGUUAAAGUCCUGUCCUCUGCAGGACGGAUCCUCUCUUCCCCCUGGAAUAAGCUUUUUCUUUCUUGUCCUUGAACACACCCACGGAGUGAAUGAAAUCUUGCUGUUGUGCUGUUGAUCAUGCUCCUUCCCUUUCUUAGAAGACGUUCCUAUUUUAUACACCAGUACUUUGAAGAUCAGAACACUAAAAAGUUAGAAUGACUUUACCGUGUUCACUCAGAACUCAGAAGCAAAAAUGUAAUUAAGUCUCACUUUCUGGCAUCAGUAUUUUAACCCAGUUUGUCUUAAAGCACUCAUUCUCCAUUGUAAAAUUUGAUUUUUAAUCCCAUGGGCAAAAACCCUUCCGUUAGAUUUGAGUUGAAGACUUGAUAAGGCAAGUCCAGUGAGACGCAGUUGUUCCAAAUCACUAGUCUCUUCCAAAUAGGAGUUGACCUCCUCCCAGCAUUUCGUAUUUCCUGUAAUAUUUAAACUUUUUAGAUUUAUGCAAUCAAGCCUUGACAAGUAUCUCUUUCCCUCUGAAAUCACACAAAAAUCUCGUUUAUAUUUGCACAAUAUUAUAGUGUCCUUGAACUGGCUUAUGGCAGAUAUAAGUAGUUGCUGCCUAAAAGUUUUUCCUAGAAUACGGAAUAUGGAUCAUGUUAAUCUCAGAAGCUUUGGGAUGUAUGCUAAUAUCUACAUUUCCUGUAAGAACUUUGUUUUAGAUGUAAGCUGCAUUUGAAAAGCCAUUUGACAAUGUUUGAGUAUCUACGCAGGCAGGCUCUGAAGGAAGGCAGAAAUGUGUCCAUGUCAUCUUUCCCUAGUUCCAAAAUAUCAAAAGAUAUUCAUUGUGUGCCCACUAUGCCCCAGGCACUGUGUUUAGAAUUGGCCACCGAACGUACGACAAGCGAUUCUCUCAAGAAGUUUACUGAGUGUGAACAGACUUGUGAGAAGCAAAAGGGACUUUUCCUGGGGCCAGUGGGCGGGCUUCAGGGAGUCUAAACCCUUUUCAAAUUAUCCAGGGUAUUUUGCGUGUAAGCCCAUUUGGGGCAGGGGUUGGGGAUGUGAAGAAGCUUCCUAGCUCUUAGAUUUUCAAGGGGCUUGGGUUCCAAAAACCUCCUCCCUCUGGACUAGCGGAAAGAGAAGGAGCUUUGAAGCCAUGCAGCGAUUAGUUUCUGUCCUGGCCUUGCUGUGAUUAGAAGCAGGUUAUCUAGGAACAUUGGAGAUAGAAUAUCUACCUGGAAGGACCAUGGUCAGGCUAGUAUUUAUGUCAAGCUCCUUACACAGUAUGUGGAAGGUCCUCAGAGGUUACUCAAGAUGUCGUAUUACUCUAAUGGAAGUGUAUUCCAGAUUUAAACCAUGGUGGCAGGAGAGCCUGAGUCUGCCUGGGUAGACGCGGACAGUUUCAGCAAAGAGGCCACAUUUGAGCUGAGCCUUGAAGAGCUUGUCAGGUGGACUAGGAUAAAAGACAGUUCAGUUUUAGAAAGCAAACAGCACUUGCAAAGACAUAGAGAUGAGAACUACAUGUAGGUUUUAGAGAGAGGAACGGGGAGGCAAUGUAUAAAAUAGGCCAAACCCGUAUACCCAGAUAAUAGGAGGGAACUCCCAAAGGGAGAGCUGCUCCCAUGCUGGGCGUGAGCUGACUGUGGAAUUGGCCUGUGCCUUCCUGAAUGUUUUGGUGAGGGGUGUUUUGAUGUUUCAUUAUUAUGAUAUAGUUUACCUUUACAAUAUAUGGUUUAGUUGGUAUGAAUGAUCUUUUUAAAAUCAGAUUCCAGCCAUGUGGUCAUUGUUCUUAAGUCUGGUCAUUUUACUUUAUCCUGUAUAUAUAAAGUAGUACUCUCUCUGUAUAGUUCUUAGAUGGUUAGAUUAGUGUUUUUCAUUGGCUCUGUUAAAAGUGCCCUGUAAAAAAAUUACAUUAAAAAAGUCUUUAAGCCCUAGGCAAAGUUCAAUGGUAGGCCUCUUGCUUGGUUUGGAUUCCUCAGCCAAUUUGAGUUUUCCGUGAGAUGACUCUGAGAGAUUUUGAGACUGCACAUUUGGGACCAGAACCAAAGUGAGAAAGGAAAGGCGUUCUAUAUCCCAUGCUACAAAAGUGUGGAGAAUAGCUUUUUUGGACACCUUCUCCCACAUUGUGUACAGUGGAUUUACUUGUAACCCAUAGACCCUUUAAUGUUGAAAGAGACGCUAAAACUGUUUAGAAAUGAAGGAACUUGUUACAGGUUUUACAGUGAGCAGUGGGCAGAGCUGAGUUUGACCCAAGUUUUCAAAGCAGAUGCUUUUUCUAGGACAUGGUAUUGCCUAGGCCAACAAUGGCAUUCUUAUUAUUUAGGGGAAAAGUUAAUAAAGAAAAAAAUGGGGCAUAAAUAUCCUGAAAACUAUAGAAAAAUUCUUUGUUGGUAUAGAUUUUUGGUUGCAGGCUACUUCCAAAGUAGCUUAAGUGAAGAAGGAAUGUAUUACAGUGGAGUGCUGCCCCUGAGCUGCUUGAAGGACCAGAACCAAGAAAUGGAGAGCUGUGCGCGCUGAGUAUUUAUUGAAUGCCCACUGUGCACCAGGCGUUGUCCUACACCCUGAAGACUUACGACUCCUCAUGGAGCUGUUCUCUUGGCAAGAGUUGGAGAAUACCUAAUAAACAAAUGGUCGUCCACCACAACCAGAGCUGCCUUAAAGCCCGGGGAUGAUGGAAUCAAGGAAGUGAUUACAAAACCCUGCGAGUGUUGAGUUGGUGCCAUGGCGUUUGUGCUUAAUGAACUCUCUUACUUCUCAGUACAGCCCAGUGAGCAGAUGCUGUUUAGGUGAGGAAACAGAUGCAGAGUUGGCCUUCAGCUUGGUGGGGGCACUGGGAGCAAUAGGCCUCCAAUAGUGGGUCAUACUGUGCAGAGCUUUCCCCCUUGAAGGUGCGUCAGUAUGGGCGAGGUGGGAGUAGCAACCAUUAAAUGGUCCGCAUCACGUGGCAGAAAACUGUGGAUGGAAUAAAUUGGAUGUGACAGAGUAAAGGUGUAACGUAACUUACCUUUUCUCCUUUUUUGCUUCCAUACACUUUGUAUCUACCUCUAUUAUAAUUCACGAUAUCAUAUUACAAUUCGUAUUUAUUUUUCUGUUUCUGUUGCUAGGUUAUGAGAUCUUCAGUAGCCAGAGAUCCAGAUUCAGAGGUUCAGAGAUGCAGUGGCCUGGAUCUGUCUUGUCUUUAUACUUUUGGUACCUAGCCAGUGGCCACAUGAUAGGUGCUUUGUAAAUCUUGUUAAAUAAAUUUAUCACUGUGAUAUGCUUACAACGUAUGUUUAGCAGACAACGCAAAUAACCGUGUUUGUAUAAUUCUGUAAACCUGGUUUAUAUAAUAAACUGCAAAAAAUGUCACCAGGGCAUUUGCAUUGUAUUCUCAGACUAAUUCAAGCCCAGUUUUUACAGACGAGGAAACUGAACUUGCGCAAGGUCACAUGAGUAGUAAGUGGCAGAACUAUUACAACUAGCAAACCUGUGCUCAUAGUGCUUAGGUUUCGUGCCUCUUUCAGUGCCGGUGUCGGCACCAGCAGCAGCAUCUUUCCUUCCUCACUCGGGGGAGAGACUGACUGGCAGAACCUUUGAAAUAAGUGGUGGCCUGACACUGUAGAAUCUAAGUUUUAUGCUGGCUGUCAACUAUGUAUUUGUCAGCCUUUUGCCUUAAAUAUACUUGAGUAUGGAUUGGACAUGUUAGUGCCCGUGUCUGUUAACAUGGAAUUGU